GACCUUUAGCCCCUGCUUUUGCUUUUUUGUUACUUUUAUUCUUUCCCUUGUACCAUUACUCAGUCCCUACCUGGGGUUUUAUCUCUGGUCUUUCUCCUUGGCUUGGAAACAAUAUAUUCCCUUGAAAUAAUUAUCUGCUACGAAUCCGGUCGAUCGUCUUAAUUGGUUGCUCCUACAUCUUAAGCAUUUCACUUUUUUUGGUGCACGUGAGAGACAU
rnacentral:misc_RNA from 1 species